rnacentral:piRNA from 1 species
UCGGUCUAUAUGAUGAUGGCUGCGU